UACGUAGGGUGCAAGCGUUGUCCGGAAUUAUUGGGCGUGAAGAGCUCGUAGGCGGUCUGUCGCGUCGGGGUGUGAAAGCCCCGGGGCUUAACCCCGGGUCUGCAUUCGAUACGGGCUAGCUAGAGUGUGGUAGGGGAGAUCGAAUUCCUGGUGUAGCGGUGAAAUGCGCAGAUAUCAGGAGGAACACCGGUGGCGAAGGCGGAUCUCUGGGCCAUUACUGACGCUGAGGAGCGAAAGCGUGGGGAGCGAACAGG
rnacentral:rRNA from 1 species